rnacentral:piRNA from 1 species
UGAAGUUACCGCUCCCACAGUCCCCAC